CCUACGGGCGGCGGCAGUGGGGAAUAUUGGACAAUGGGGGCAACCCUGAUCCAGCCAUGCCGCGUGUGUGAAGAAGGCCCUCGGGUUGUAAAGCACUUUCAGUGAGGAAGAACGCCUGGUGGUUAAUACCCAUCAGGAAAGACAUCACUCACAGAAGAAGCACCGGCUAACUCCGUGCCAGCAGCCGCGGUAAUACGGAGGGUGCGAGCGUUAAUCGGAAUUACUGGGCGUAAAGCGCGCGUAGGUGGCUUGAUAAGCCGGUUGUGAAAGCCCCGGGCUCAACCUGGGAACGGCAUCCGGAACUGUCAAGCUAGAGUGCAGGAGAGGAAGGUAGAAUUCCCGGUGUAGCGGUGAAAUGCGUAGAGAUCGGGAGGAAUACCAGUGGCGAAGGCGGCCUUCUGGACUGACACUGACACUGAGGUGCGAAAGCGUGGGUAGCAAACAGGAUUAGAUACCCGGGUAGUC
rnacentral:rRNA from 1 species